CCUACGGGAGGCAGCAGUGGGGAAUAUUGGGCAAUGGGCGCAAGCCUGACCCAGCAACGCCGCGUGAAGGAAGAAGGCUUUCGGGUUGUAAACUUCUUUUAAGAGGGAAGAGAAGAAGACGGUACCUCUUGUAUAAGCCACGGCUAACUACGUGCCAGCAGCCGCGGUAAUACGUAGGUGGCAACCGUUGUCCGGAAUUACUGGGUGGAAAGGGCGUGCAGUCGGGCUGACAAGUCAGAUGUGAAAUCCCGGGGCUCAAACGCGGUACUGCAUUUGAAACUGGCAGUCUUGAGUACCGGAGAGGUCAGCGGAAUUCCUUGUGUAGCGGUGAAAUGCGUAGAUAUAAGGAAGAACACCAGUGGCGAAGGCAGAUGACUGGACGGCAACUGACGGUGAGGCGCGAAAGCGUGGGGAGCAAACAGGAUUAGAUACCCUUGUAGUC
rnacentral:rRNA from 1 species